AGUUCAAGGCAAGGGAACCAAGCUGAGAGAGGAAGGAGGAAGAAGAAACUGUAUCUAGACAUCCUUGAGUUUUGCUCUUUGGAAACCCUCACAAGUGUUCUGUGUUUUGUUUCUCUGCCAGGAGAAUUCCUGGUCAGUCUGAGCUUCAGGCUCUUUUUCCCCAGCAGUGUGAUUUGUGUCAAAAAGCCACUCUCAACAACUGCCUCAGCCUUCUGAUUUUUCUCUCUGAUGCUCUUGCUUUUACUUCUGAAUAAGUACAUGUUGGGCAGUUAGCCAUUGCCAGGUGUAGGGUUCACUUUCCAAAGCCCUGAUCAACGCCAACCACUGUGCUUUGACCGAGGCCAUCAGGACCCAUCAAUAAUAGCAACAACUGUUUAAAGUGACCUACAGACAGCCGGCUCUCAGUAUCCGCGGGUUCCGUAUCCACAGAUUCAGUCAACCGCGGAUCAAAAACAGCACAUGAUCUGCGGUUGGUUGAAUCUGUGGAUGCGGGACCCAUGGAUGUACAACCUGCGGAUACAGAGGGCGAUUAUGGAACUUGGACAUUUGUGGAUUCUAGUACCCACCUGACGAGGUGGGGUUGGGUCCUGGAACCAGUACUCCUCGGAUACCAGGGGAUUAUUGUAAGUUUGGCUCUGGGAUCUGGGCUCAGCCAAAACGUGUGCAGGUGCCUGAGAAAGAGGAAGACAGGGUCUUACACACUGACCUGUGACCAGUCUUGCUAAACAGCCAGACAAAAGGGGCGCUGAGUCAUGACCGUGCAGAUUGUUGGGUUUUUGCUCACUUCAGAUGGGUUGUGGUCAUUGGUGCAUUAACAGAAACUAAUAGAUUUAGAUAAACCCCACAGUAAUCCCACACGCCAAUGCCUGAAUCCCAAAGCACAUAGGAUUCUGAUCAUCAGUGAAACAUCGCCUCAUUAUUGAGGGGACAGCAGCCCUGGGACCCUGGCUGGGGACCCGGGGAGCCGCAGAUGUUUCAGCUUGCUGCAAAUGGAAUUGCUGACCAGUCAAUACAGAAUGCUUCCUCGGGAGUGUGGCGUCAUUGAUUUAUGAAUUAUGGCCCUUUUAAACUCUCUGCGUGCCUUCUCAGAUAUCGACGUUUUAAAAACCGAUUUCUCAUGUGGAUCCUUUGCAGAAACACACACAGGGCCCGAGAUUAGUGUUUAUGGCAGAAUAAAUGGAGUGAAGCACUCUAGGCCCUUGUUUCCUUUGAAUAAUGAAUUAUUCAGGGAGAGAUUUUUGUUUUGGAAAAUGGCAAAUGCAUUGCCAGGACACACAGGAAAGGACUGCGCUCAGGGUUGGGUUCCUUCUCGUUUAGGGAAGGGUUAAUCAGCCUGAAUGAAGCUAGAAGCUCAUCUUCCCUGCUCCUGCCUGCAAACCUUUUGUGUGGUUCCAAGUGCCUGGGGAAGAACCUGGGCAUUGCUGUUGCUUGAAGGCUCAGGAAAAGCGUGAUGCCCUCCCAUCCUGGGAGGGAGAAGUGUGGCUGAGCUCUCAUCUUCCACAUUUGCGCUUUUCCUUCUGAGGGUCUCUGGCUUCCUGUCCUCCUCCCGUGGUGCCAGUUUUGGGUGGCCAAAGGGCCCUCCUUCUCCAGUAAUAAUAAUAGUAUUCUCUAGUAAUAGUAAUCAUAAUUAGAGUCAUCGUGUGCAGGUCACCCACUAUGUGCUUGGUCACAGUGCUGGGUGUCAGUGUCCGCCAGUUCUUAUGGAACCACCUUGGGGAGGGGGCCCUUACGGCCCCAUUUCUUUUUUACCAGAGGAGGAAACUGAACCUCAAAGAAGGAGAUAUUUCAAGAUCACAGAGGUAAAGAGAGCAGAGUGACUCAGAGGCAGUUUUUGUUGUGGGUUUGUUGUCAUUUUCGAACUCUUUUCUUUAUUCCCUAUACCCCCCUAACCUCGUUGCUGACAAGUUGAGCGGCCGACGUCCACCUUCCUGAGGAUGUGGUGCCGGCCCCUCAUCCUUUCCUCGGGAUCCCACCCUGCUAGGGUUUCCAGAGGCCACAGCACCCAGGCUGACGAGCCCUUAGGGCCGCCUGGCCUCAGGGUUCUUGGUCCUGCUGGGUGCCGGUGUGUCUCUGGGACCUUAUCUUGAUCAGAGCUCACACCUGGGGCUCUUGCUCUUAAGACAUCUUGCUCGAGGCCCUUUCUGCUUCUUAUCUCCUGCUUUUGACCUCCUCUCCACGGCACACCCAUGCUCUGCUCUCCCUUGAACCUUGAAUGCUUGAACAUUCUCAGUUUACCCAGCCUUGUGCUGCUGCGGAUGGUGUAGUCAGGUACUUCUAACUCACACUCCCUGGCUCCCUGGGCUUUGAUUCCCUCCCCAGGGACCUCCAAACAAUUGGCCCCUAUGCUCUGUGCCCUUUCGCACUUCGUUGUCUGCCAACCCCACCCAGAGGGCCAGGAGCAGAGCAGAGUUGGGCAAUGUCCUAGGACUCCAUGCUUUUGUCCACUACAGAUUUACACUUUUUUUUUUUUUUUUAAGGAUGAUCCUCACUGAAGCAUGGCAGUGUUUUAAAUAUUUUUCCUAUUACAUGCAGAUAAUUGCAGGCAUUCAGAAAAGCUGAAAAGAAUAGAAGAGGAAACAUGUCAUCAUCUCUAAGGAAUUUUCCCAUCCUUUAUCACCCUUCACUCUAGCCUUGCGUGCAUUUCUUUGAAUGCCCUUAUUCUUCACACCUCUGUGCCUUUGCCCAUGCUGUUCCUUGAGUGUAGAAUGCCAUUCCUUGCUCUACUUGUCUAACGCCGGCUAAGUCUUUGACAUCUUCCCCAGGAGUCCCACCCCAAUCCUUGCUCCAGAUUAGUCAUCCCUCUUCUAUGGUCACAAAAUGUCCAGGUGGAGUUAGUGUAAUGGGGCUGGUAACACAGAUUCUGGAGCCUGGCUGCCUGGAUUCCGAUCCUAGCUCUUACUAGCGGGAACCUUGGGCAGUUCCUUAGCUUCCUAUGAUUCAGUGUCGUCUUGUCUAAACAAGGUGUUAAUAAUUUCUAUUUCUUGGAUGUAAUGAGCAUGAAAUGAGUUAAUAUAUGCUAUGCGCUGAGGGCAAUGCCUGAUUCUUAUGUAAGGGUUGGCUAUUGCUGGUUUCUGAUGAGAGCAUUUAGUAUUUACCAAACUGAAAUUAACACUGACCUUGAACUUGAGAGGAGGCACUGCCUUAUCUUGACUUGGGCAGUCUAAUUCCAGGCAAGUCAACGUAGCCUCUCUGGCCUCGGCUUUUCCAUCUGCUGAAUGAGAUCACUACAGAAUCUACUUCACUGGGGAGCUAGGGAGCUGGAGAGCUGAAAUGAGGAAAUAGAGGGAGCGGGCUGAAAACAGUGGCUGGUAUGUCGUGGUUAAUAGGCCGAGCCCUUGUUAUUAGCUAGGGUGCAAAUUUCUCCCAGGUCCAGGUCGAAAAUGGUAGCACUGGAAAGGUCAUGAGGUUUUUUUAACUUUAUAGAUAAAGAUAAUAAAGUUGUUUAAAAAAGAAUCAAGGUCACAUAGCUCUGUUUGCUAUUUUUAUGAGACAUCACAGCGCAGGAGACCACGUGCCUCGUGUGGGCUAAGGUGUUUCAGACAACGCACACUUGAGAGGGGCUUGAGAGCGGGCAUAGUCAUGCUUUCUGUGGAGUGUGCGAUAUUUUCGCACUGCCUGUUAUCUCCUCAGUGUUGGUGGGUAUCCUCUUUGUCCCUGUGGGGAAAUGUCCCCCAAGCCCACUUUAGAGGCCACUUGCAGAGUUCAAGACCCAGGUCCCCUGAUGCCUUCUGCCUUAUUGCUCAGUCUUCUAUGAGCCAAACCCAGACCAAAGACGGCUGGAUGGAUGGUUGGGGGAGGAGGAGCCAUGAACCCCCUUGUCCUUACUGGGGUGACCCAGCAGUCUGUGACCGGGAUGACAGUGAGGCCCCGCUUUCCCCAGACAGUCCUGGUUUACGCUUGUGGACCCAGUAAAAUGGUGCAUAGCACGUUCACUCUCACAAGUGUCCUUUCCAGAGCUUGGCGGCCACAUCUUAUUUUGUAGCCUUCCAGCAGGCUGCUUCUAGGCACACGGCUGAAAUCGCUGUUCCCUUCAAUUGACUCCUUGUGCAAAGCCAGUCGAGUGCGCUGAUGCUCUGGAAGGUGGCGGAGCCCCUCAGAGAGACUGAAAUUUAAACAGGUCCCUUUCAGAGGGUCUCACCUGCUGGGCCAGCCACCUGUUGGAAAGGACGGCUGGGUCUUCACACACUCAGGAAGGGCUGUCUUGCACUCCAUUGCUUCGUGUUGUUCUAAGUCCCGUCCUUUUGACCUGGAACUGCCUUGGCACCCUUGGUGUUCGUCUUUCAGUGUCAAUGCUGCCAUGCCAUACCUCAGUAAAGGCCGAGCGGCUCAGGUAUCCAGCUGGAUUUUAGCUGAAGGAGAAUGCAAAUUGCCAGCACAGCAAAACCCUGUGCUGGGCUUACGGAGCCCCUGGAUUUGCCAAAAACCAGGAAUGGAGCCUUGUUCCCAUUUCUUCGUUUUAUAUUCCCAGGAAGAAUUCUUGGGGAUGCAUAAUGUGAUAAACCCGGGAGCCAGCUCCUUGGUAUCCUUGGUGAGGCCAAGAUUAAUGAGGUUUCCAGGGCCACCAUGCUAUGUUCUUUGUCCCAGCUGAAUCUCAGGGAGCAGCAGAGUCAUUUGUGCAAAUCAAGUGCACAGCUGAAACCACUGUUGCUUUGGUGUGGGCUAAAUGAGAUUGUAAAAGGCAGAUGGGAAAUAUAAAGAAAGAAUUAAAGACUACAAAAGGGGAAUUUACAUCAUGGAGCUAGGUUAUAAUAUGAGGUAGGCUUUAUUGUGUCCAUAGUACAGAUGUAGAAACUGAAGCUCCCAGUAGUGAACUCAUCUCAUAAGCGGUGAAGCUGUGGUUUGAACUUGAGAGUCCACCGUCUCACCACUGAGACACACCGAUUCCCCUUUAGGCUCGUACACAGGCCUGCCUCCAGCCUUACAGGACCUGGUGUAGGGGCUAACAUGCAUCCACAUACCAGGAAUCUUAAUACUGAAACAAGUUCACUGUUAAAUAAAACAUGUUCUAGCUUCCUGGCUUGACAAAUACGCUUUUCGAAUGACAAAAUUUAAAAAAUGUGUAAAGCCACAGAGUUUUAUAUGAUUGAAAGUUAUUAGCAAAGUGUCAAGUUUAGCGUGCACAUUUGGUGGGAAUCUUUUCCUCCCUGAUUUUCAUUGUUUUGAUCAGUAAUUAAGUCUUGCAUCUUUAUUAAAUCAGGAAUUUGUAAAUCCUAGUUCAAAUCGUAUGUAGGUCAUGCUCAAUAGAAAUCGCCUUUCUUUCAGUGUUUUCAGUUUUUUAAAGUGUAACAUUUCCCCUCCUUACUGAUUUUUCUAUUCUUUUCAAUUUUUCUCUUUUCCCUGAGCUCGGCUUUCUUUUCUGUUUCUACUGUGAUCUCAUAUUCUCAGUGAUCUAAAGAGUCGCACAAUAAACUGUCAUUAUAUUCAAGGUAUAUAAAAAUUGAAUGUAUUUUUAAUCAAAGAUAAAUUGGAGUAAGUAUAAAAAUUUAAAAAGUAAAUUGAUGCUCUUCAAAAUAGUUAUUUUUCUUCUAAAGUAUUUAAAGUUAUCUCAUGAAAUUGAAAGGCAAAAUGUCAAUGUAAUUAAUGAAUAUUAAAUUUUAAAUAAAAAUCACUUAAUUCCUGUUGUGGCUUAGUGCUUAACGAAUCCGAUGCGGAACCAUGAGGUUGUGGGUUCGAUCCCUGGCCUCACUCAGUGGGUUAAGGAUCCAGCGUUGCCGUGAGGUGUGGUGUAGGUCACAGACAUGGCUUGGAUCCCACAUAGGCCAGCGGCUACAGCUCUGAUUCCACCCCUAGCCUGGGAACCUCCAUAUGCCGUGGGAGCGGCCCAAGAAAUG
rnacentral:lncRNA from 1 species